rnacentral:rRNA from 1 species
CAGCAGCCGCGGUAAUACAGAGGAUGCAAGCGUUAUCCGGAAUGAUUGGGCGUAAAGCGUCUGUAGGUGGCUUUUCAAGUCCGCCGUCAAAUCCCAGGGCUCAACCCUGGACAGGCGGUGGAAACUACCAAGCUGGAGUACGGUAGGGGCAGAGGGAAUUUCCAGUGGAGCGGUGAAAUGCGUUGAGAUCGAAAAGAACUCCAACAGCGAAAGCACUCUGCUGGGACGACACUGACACUAAGAGACGAAAGCUAGGGGAGCAAAUGGGAUUAGAUACCCCUGUAGUCCCUGUCUCUUAUAC